AUUUACUGCUAGGUAACAGGGGCAUCAGGGUGAAAGAAACAUUUUGCCCAUUUGUCUCCGCCUCCACCGAGGAUCGAACCCGGAACCUCAGGACUACGAAUCCGAAGCACUGUCCACCCAGUUGUCAAGCACCUAGAAGUGGAGGCUAACUCCUUACACAGUUUUAAAUGUAGAUAUGAGAGAGCCCAAUAGGCUCAGGAAUCUGUACACCAGUUGAGAGGCGGGACCAAAGAGCCAGAGCUCAACCCCCGCAAGCAUAACUAGGUGAGUACAUCCCCCCCUCCCCUCUCUCAUACACGAAGUAACAGGAAUAGACUAAAUUGACAAAGGCACGCCUGAAACCAACAACUUCAAGAGAGGACAGAUUCAAGCAAAGGAAAGAAAGGUGGCGAAAAAAUGUAGAAAGUUUUCUUUUGGAAACAGGAUGGUAGACGGUUGGAACAAGCUGAGGUGGUGGAGGCCAAAACCGUCAGUAGUUUCAAAGCGUUACACGACAGAGUACUGUGACGACAGGACACCACGAGCCUAGAAAACAAGAUCUAUUGCGAGGUCUCCAGGUCUUCGCAAGACCUGAAGACCUAGAAUUUCUUAUCGAGUUCCUCGCACACCACCUUGUCGCUUAUAGUGAAUCUGUCUGCACCUAUCCUCGGUUUCAUUACUUGUUCCUUUACUGCUAUUUUCCUCCUGAUGUGGCUGUGCAGCAAUUUAGGUUGAGUCUUUGCCUUGCUUACUAUAACAUUUUCGUAUUGACUUUCUGCCUCUCUUCUCACAUUGAUGUACUCAAUUCCUUGCGCUCUGGUAUCUUUCUCUACUCUCUAGUGACCUAUUAUUUCUUGUUUCUCCAUUGUGUCUCUCUCCCCCUAUAAGAGAAUAAAUUUUUAAAGUUGGAAAGUGUACAUUUUGGGCUAGUAGCCUCACACACAUUGGCAGAGGAAAUGGUCAUGGGGACGGAAUGAACAUAGGCUGGUCGGAGGCGCCAGAAUUUGAAAGGGAACAUCGUGCCAGGCGUGCCAGGGUCACAUCCAGACACCCACAACGAAUUUUUGGCACUGCCCGCCAGCUACACCUACGGAAAUGUCUUGGAAACAUUUCAAAGCAUAUUAUUUUCUUACAGAAAUAAACAUUAUUCGUUGAUCUCGGGAACGUUAACAAGAAAUUUCCUGCUAUAUAAGCCAAGGACAUAAUCCCAUGAAACACGUAUAUUAAAUUCUAAACCUCCCUCAUAGAAAACUGAAGGCCAUCCCAUAAAUCCAAGAAGAUACCUAUUAUAUUAUGUGUGAAUGUUAUUUAAUAUAACGACAUUGCCACUUGCCAAUAUUGCCAUUAGCAAUAUGUGGGACAAGAGAGAUAUAUAAAGAAAGACAUAAAAGAAAGGGGAGUGGAGAUGGGAGGAGGAAGAGGUGACGAAUGUGGUGAGGGAGUGGGUGAAGAAAGGGGGGAGAGAGGUGGAGGGCCGAGCGGAUAAGGAGUGGGAGAGAAGGAAGGGACAAAGAGGAGGGGGUAUAUGGGGAGACGAGAGAGAAGGGGUGGGAGGAGAGAGAGGCUACCCCCCCUCCCCUUUUAGAUUACCUAAGAGAAUGUGUCUCCAAAGCUGGGGGCCAGACAUUCGGGCCAGGCUUCACUCAAAUUGAGGGAAUGGUCUUGGGUACGGGGUGGACAUAGAUAAGCUGGUCGGGGUCACCACAGGUCAUGGGUACGAGGUGGACAUAGAUAAGCUGGUCGGGGUCACCACAGGUCAUGGGUACGGGGUGGACAUAGAUAAGCUGGUCGGGGUCACCACAGGUCAUGGGUACGGGGUGGACAUAGAUAAGCUGGUCGGGGUCACCACAGUUCAAAAGGGAGCAGCGUGCCAGGGUCACAUCCUGACACCCACCACCACCACCAUCAGCACUGCCCGCCAGCUACACAGCUCAAUAUUUUGAAAACAAACCUUUAAAAAAAAUGCACUGAUAGUAAUAUCCACUAUUCAAUGACCUCGGGAACAUUGACAGAAAUUUCGUGCUACCCAUUAUUGUCUAGCGUAAGUUUAAUUAAGUACACUUGCAGAUGUGUAUAUAUUUUUGUAUUCACAAUAUUGGAUUGUGUAGCACCAGUGUUGGGACGUUAUUAAGGUAUUGUAAGACGAGAAAAACAUGUGCGCACAUGUUGCUCACAGUUGACCGAUAUUAAAUAUAUGCAAGUCACGUCUUGGACAUUUGUAAAUUAAAUAUAAAUUUAUAAAAACAUUUA
rnacentral:lncRNA from 1 species